rnacentral:rRNA from 1 species
UACGUAGGGUGCAAGCGUUGUCCGGAAUUAUUGGGCGUAAAGAGCUCGUAGGCGGUCUGUCGCGUCUGCUGUGAAAACUCGGGGCUUAACCCCGGGCCUGCAGUGGGUACGGGCAGACUAGAGUGCGGUAGGGGAGACUGGAAUUCCUGGUGUAGCGGUGAAAUGCGCAGAUAUCAGGAGGAACACCAGUGGCGAAGGCGGGUCUCUGGACAGUUCCUGACGCUGAGGCACGAAGGCCAGGGGAGCAAACGGG